CAUGAGUAGUUUUGGACCCGUGUCUGCUUGUAGGUCCCCCGUCUUUGUGCGGCUGACUACGGCGCCGUGUCCCGUCGUUCCAAUGGUCUAUGCUACCGUUUCCCUUCAAGUGCUUGCGUGCUGGUACCCGAACUACGGGUAGUGGUGCUAUGUACAGGUUGCCUCGCGGUGGACGCCUUCGGGUGUGCUGCUGCGGCCAUAUGGUGGUUGCGGCGUUGCCUCAUUGUGCCAACACGUUAUCGUGUCUGGUGCUAUCAAGGGAACCUCGCUCCUGCUGUUGGUCUUGGAUGUUGCUCACGAUAAAGUGUCAUGGCCCUUUCGGUUGCCAUUACCCGACCCUAAAAUGCUCUCCAAAAUGAGAACAACCGGAACAGGUGUUGCCUCUACCUCUCCACAGUUAGUGGUAGGAUACGCAACAUUUUGCGCCGAUCCUCAAAGUAGGACGAGCUUUGGCCCGCUCAAUUGUGACAACCGGCCCGGCUGUUGCCUCUGCCUUGACACGCAAGUGGAUGGGCGGACAACUACCGACGCUGGACGUCAACGAGGACGUGCU
rnacentral:misc_RNA from 1 species